AAUUAAUUAUCAUUAAUUGUUUACUAACAUAAAAUAUAUAUUAUAUUUAUUAUUAUGUAAAAUUUCUAAAACCGUAAAAUCGCACCGAACCAAACUGGUUUCUAUGGUUCGGUUCUAGUCUUGUUUCACAAUUUAAUGGUUCGGCUAUGGUUUUAAUUUUUCUGGAACCAGUUCCUAUGAUUUGGUUCCUGGUUUUCUCUAAAAUCGAACCAAUUUAAUUCGUGUACACCCUAACUCUUAAUGAAGCUUGAACAUGAUAAAGCUUUUUAAUAUAUUGAAGGUUCUUCAAAUUAGGGUAGAUUACAUUGAUAGUCUCUCUAUUUGGUUCUUUGGGCUUGUUUGGUAGAGUUUUUUUACAGCUUAUUUCAGCUUUUAGCUUAAUUUAAGUUGUUUUAUUGUGUUUGGUGUAGCUUACUAAUAUAGAUUAUAGCUUUUUGUAAGUGAAAAAUCAGCUUUUUGUUGAAGUGGCUAUAGGGGUGCUUAAUUAUUCAGCUUAAGCGGCAAGCUGGGAAGGGAGGGGUGAAAUUACUUAAAUGCCCCUUAUCAACUUCAAUUAUUACCAAAAAACCAAGAUAUAAACCUACAACCAAACACUGUGCACUUCUUCAGAGAGACAGAAAGCUUGAGAGGCGAUUUCAGGCGGUGAUUUUCGGUGGCAUGAACCAGCUCUCUGGUGGCGUGAACCAGCUCUCUCCGGUGGCGUGAACUUCUUCUCUCUCUCUCUCUCUCUCUCUCUCUCUCUCCGGCGUCUCAAUCUCUCACAUCGCGGGCCACUGAGAUGUUUACAGUUUCUUCUCUAUUUCUCAGUGACAUAUCCUAGGUGCCGGAUGCAUCUAGCGGGCAUCGAGAAUUCAGGAUUCUGUGGGUAUUGAAGAGGAGUUGUUGCAUGAUUCACGAGCCGUUGAACAGGUGCCGUAGCGGUGUCGGACACCCGGACACACCGGUGACACGUAUUGGGUUAGAACACGUCGGGGACAUGGCAAGAGAAGAAGGCCUAACAUGUUCAGUUGAUCGGUUGCAAUCUCUAUCUCCAUCGUUGUUCCAGUUGCUACCUCCAUCUGUUAUUCCAGUCGCGAUCUUGAGGCUCCUGUUCUAGUCACGAUCUCCAUCAAGGCUCCUAUUCCAAUUGAUCUCCAUCUCAUCUCGAUCUGGUAUGUCUUUGUCUCGUCUCUCUCUUCUCUUCGGUCUGUAUCGCCUCUCGUCUCUAUGUGUUUCGUCUUCCUCUCUCUGCC